UAAAUCAACAACUCCACGACGUCCACCAACACCAGAAUCAACUUCAAACGAGGCAAGCAGCAAAUUUUCAUUUUUGCAAAAUAAGCCUAAAGUAAAGUCUACCAGAGCCGAUGCCAUUAUUGCCACAAGGCAAUAUAUGGAAAAAGAAAACAUUCCUGACACUUGCGACCCCUUGAAGUAUUGGGAGAUGACUGCUGACAACGAACUGAAAUUGGUUGCAAAAAAAAUUUUUCUGUAUACAAGCCUCGUCCUGUGAGUCUGAACGAGUAUUCAGCAAAGCUGGACAAACCAUAUCUGACCGCAGGACAAGGCUUAAACCUGAAGUUGUUGAUCAACUUUUGUUCCUGAAUAGAAAUAGACACUUUAAAUGAUCUCAAAUAAAUCUCAUGUUACUGUU